rnacentral:rRNA from 1 species
AUGGCCGCCACCGCCGCCGACGUACCUGACGAUUUCAAAAAGUGGUGGGAGACAUUCAACAAUGGCGUCGCCGUCGACCAAGGGCAAGACGACGAGGAGGACGGGACGGACUCCGAUUCCAGUUUCGAGCGGGGGCAGCAGCAGGAGGAGGAGGAGAAUGCGGGCGUGGUGGCGGGCGAGGAGACGGUGUCGGACGCCCACGCGCCCGCCGGGAGGGAGGGCGGCAGCGGCGCCGCCCGCGAUUGCGACGUGGCAGAGGAGGGGAUUUCUCAGAAUAGCCAUUUUCCGUGUGAAGCUGAGCUGCAGGGAAGGAACAGAGAAGCAGCCGCCAAACUAAAUGCACCACAGGCUUCUGAAGAUGAAGCCGAGCAUGUUUCUGAAGACAGCUAUGUUCAGAUUGGAGGCGGGCUGCAGGGAAUGAAGAGAAAGGCAACCGACAAACGAAACGAAUCUCAGGCUACUGGAAAUGAGAUCCAGAACGAAGAAGGUCAAGACAAGUACGUUUCUGCGGACAACUACGUUCAGAUUGGAGGCUGGGAGCAAGGAAGGAAGAGGAAAGCAGCCGCGACACCCAACAGAGUGCAAUCGACUGGAAUUGAGAUCCAGAACAAAACAAGUCAAGGUGAGUAUCUGAGAGCUGAGAAUCAGAGGCUGAGGCAGCAGCUCGUUUGCAAGACGAAAGAGCUCGAGGCUGAACAGAUUCAGAGGCUCGAACUAGAGUUGCAUUUCAAGACAGAGGAGAACAAGUCUUUGAAGAAACAGAAUGAAGAGUUGAGAGCUGAGAAUGAGUACUACAGGAAGACCUUAAGCUCUGCACCGAAUUCUACGCGUACCCGGGUGCCACUAGAUUAA